CAGUCGCCGCGGGAAUACGGAGGGUGCAAGCGUUAAUCGGAAUUACUGGGCGUAAAGCGCACGCAGGCGGUCUGUCAAGUCGGAUGUGAAAUCCCCGGGCUCAACCUGGGAACUGCAUUCGAAACUGGCAGGCUAGAGUCUUGUAGAGGGGGGUAGAAUUCCAGGUGUAGCGGUGAAAUGCGUAGAGAUCUGGAGGAAUACCGGUGGCGAAGGCGGCCCCCUGGACAAAGACUGACGCUCAGGUGCGAAAGCGUGGGGAGCAAACAGGAUUAGAUACCCGUGUAGUCCCUGUCUCUUAUAC
rnacentral:rRNA from 1 species